rnacentral:lncRNA from 1 species
GGAAAUUCCAGCGAGACAAACACUGGGAGGCAUUGAGAAACACUUGGAAAUGCAAAGACGCAGAAUAAAGAUGGAAACAACUCAGACUUCAAGAGACAGACAGAAGAGCUCUACUCUGUUCUUCCUCUGAACUUGUAGCCAAUCUACCCACCCUAGUCUCUCCCACCUCAAUUCUAGAAACUCCUGGAAGCUUCAUUCUGGAAUUUGUUGGUACAAAUGGGCUUGUUGUGGGACUUACCCAGGCUGGACCAGGAUUAUUCUGGUAGGUAGGGUUCAGCUUUACUGCUUCCCAAGUUCAGCUGUUAUGUCUCUGUACCUCUGUUAUGUCUCUGAAAGAGAAUCUUUCUUUCUUCAAGAAAGUAUGUUUGUCUUAAAAAGUGUGUGUGUUUGUGUGUAUGUAUAUGACAUAUACCUAUGAAUGACAUAUAUAUCAAUGACAAAAGUAAAUAUAUAUGAAUGAAUGAUAUACAUAUAUGAGUAUUUAUAUUCUUUCUAUAUAUAAAUGUAUGUAUAUAUGUGUGUACAUUCUUUUUGUUGUUUUUGUUAAUAACACCAACUCAACAUGAUGGCGCACAGUUGUAGUCCCAGCUCCUUCGGAAGCUGAGGCAGGAGAAUCACUUGAGACCAGAAGUUUUAGACUCCUACCAACAUAAGGAGUUAAGAACUUGGGCUGGGGGUAAAAGCUCAGUGGUAGAGUGUUUGCCUAGCAUAUGAGGCACUGGGUUUGAUCACCAUAGAUCCCCAGGAUAGUUUCCCUCCCCAAAGAAGUGGCCUCAUGGGGCCCCACAUCAGCACUUAGCAGGCUCUGGAACAUGCUGGAAAGUGAAUGGGGAGGGACUAGAGAAAGUUAGAGAUGCAAACUCCCUCCCCUGCAAUCUGCACUGAGAAACUUUCCCCUGCACUCUCAUACCUUCCCCCACCUCAUGCACCUGCCUCAGGCCACAUUCCGGUUUCUUCCACAAACACUGCCACUGCUGAGGCCAAGAUUCUGGAUCCUGAUUGCCUGAAUUCUAAUUCUGGUCUGACCACUUAGUAGCAAGUGAUUACCUCUCUGUGCCUCAGUUUUACCCCAUAUAUAUGGAAUACUGAUAGCAUCAAUUUCACUGAAAAGAAUGAAGAACAGGGCUUUGGAGUUAGACUGGCCUUAGGGAAGAUACUUCAGUUUCUCAUCUGUAAAAGCAGCACAAGGGCUCUAAACCCUUAGGUGGGAGGUAUCUAAUUAAGCUUAAUGCAAGACUUAAGACAGGAGGUUUAGCUACAGUGACUUUCCAAAAUUCUCCUCACCUCUUCUGCACACAGUUAGCUCCUACCUCUCCUCUUGGUCCCUCCCUCCCCAUAGAAUCCUGUCUGCCUAUUUUAUGGCUGCUAAUCCCCCCAAAUAAUCCCUCAAUCCUCAUCACACACAGACUGCCCAAACAAUGGAUGAUUGCCAGUCCUGGAGAACAGCACCCCCCAACACACACACACACACACACACACAGGCUGCCCUGCGUCUAGCUCUUGAUCCUUCAAAGAAUCUCUCUGUUCCCUCUUCAGAAAAUGGCUGUACCACCUCCAUCAAACACCUCCCCUGUCUUCCCCAAAUAGCCACCCUUUUGCCUCUUCAAGGGGAACAGCAACCUUAGAAGAAUCUUAAUUAUGCUAACAGUGCCCUAGCUGAUUUUCUUGUGUAUCCUAAUGUACAAUCAAUUGAAUAGGUUAUACCCACUGCAGCUGAAGAGCCUCAUUGUUACCCAGAUAGUGGAAGCCUCCCUCAAGAACCCCAUCACCUCACUUUGAUUCUUCAGGGUAUGGGAUGGGGCAGAGACAACCCCAGUCUGAAUAAUACAGUUACCUUUAAAAUUGUGUCUACUCUGUACUUCCAUAUUUAGUUUUACUACAUAUAUAGUCUUGAAUUUUACUUAUAUGCUAUCUUUGCAUCCUCCUUUCAGUCAUACUCUGAUAUUUACAUUACAUUAGGUAUAUGUGACUCCAGUCCACUCAGUUUAUGUGGAAUAAGGUCCUUAUUAUUACCCACAAAAAAAUAUGGUAAUUAUCUUUCUCUGCUCAAUGGAGAAAAUGUCUUUUGUUAAUGGAGAUUUGUGUUGUUUUUCUUUGGCUGUUUGGUUUAGUUAAGUAUUGUUUUGGUUUUUCUAUUAAAAACAGUCUUUAUAUGGAAAAGGGGGGGAAAACUGUUCUUUUUUUUUUUUAAUAUUUAUUUAUUUUUUAUUUUUAGUUUUUCGGCAGACACAACAUCUUUGUUUGUAUGUGGUGCUGAGGAUCGAACCCGGGCCGCAUGCAUGCCAGGCGAGCGCGCUACCACUUGAGCCACAUCCCCAGCCCGAAAAACUGUUCUUGACAAGACCUUUUCUGCCCUCCUGAAAUUUAUUUAAAUCCCAUGCACCCCCACAACCUGACCCCCUUACACACAGCCAGUCCUCUCCUGCUUAGAUCUCUACCUAUGAUCAGACUCCUAUGCCUAGCUACCAUACAUGGCUAGAGGAUACCCAAGUUAUAGACCCCUCUUUUCAGACCCUCCCCAUGUUCUUUCCCCACACUCAGGCCUUAAAGCUGCCCCUACAAUCCCCCACAGCUGAGGCCCCUCCCAUGCCCAGCCCUGCCCCCAUCCCUUAGGCCCCCAAGGUAGUUUCCCAAUGUCCCAGUACCUCUGCAUUCCAGGCCUUCCACACCUGCAACCCAGUCCAUCCUCCCCGAUGUCCCAGCCCCCACCCCACAUCAGGCACUCCCAUAGUCUUGCUAUUCCCCAAGGAACAGGGCCUUCCCAACUGCUGUCCCUCUCUCUGCUCAGGUCCCCACCUCAUACCCAGACUGCCCCAAGCCCUCUUCAGGCUAGACCCACUUAGGGCCCCCUCCAAAAGCCUUUGGAGGUUUGGUGGCAGCAAUGUGGCUAAUGAACCUGUCAAUUCAAAGACCAGGCACUGCGCAGGAAGACUUCAAACACCCUGGAAUCUUGCUGCUCAUUAUUGAAAACACUUAAUAGAGAUUUUCCCAAAUUUGACAACAUCCAAAACUUUUGAGACAUUAACAAUAAUAAAUGGUG